AUGUCCUGGAAUGUCCGGGGACUGAACUCGGCGGCAAAGCGGGAAGCAGUUAGAGAAGUAGGGGCUGCGCAGCGGCUCGCUGUCCUCUGCAUCCAGGAAACUAAGAUAGAUACAUGGACUCAAGCCAUGGUUAGCGACAUCGGUGGUAGUUGGAUGAAAGAUUGCGUAGUUCUGCUGGCGAUAGGCUCUAGGGGUGGCAUCGCGAUCUUCUGGAACAGAGACCUUGUGUCUGUCUGCUCCCAGGCCGUCGGUCAGUUCUUGAUCACGGCCUCUGUUACUGUAAUUAGCUCGGCGACUAGUUUUGUGCUCACCACAGUCUAUGGCCCCUCCGACGGCAACAACAAAGAGGCUUUCUUCGCUGAAUUAGCUAGCACGACCCCCUCUUUAGGCACUCCAUGGCUCACUAACGGUGAUUUAAACGUCAUCUACGAGGCUAGAGACAGAAAUAACCACAAUCUAAAUAGAAGGAUGAUGAGUAGGUUUAGAGCGGCUUUAGAAUCGGCGGCACUGAAAGAAAUCAAAUGCAAAAAUAGGAGGUUAACUUGGAGUAACGAGAGGGAAUCGCCCAUGUUAGUUAGCAUCGACAAGUUCUCUGUCAACCUAGAAUGGGAGGCCCACGUCCACAUCAUGCUCGGAUCACUGCCCUUUGAUCCUAGCCGGCGCUACCACUGCUCCAAGGCGGGCAAGAUUUCAUUUUGA
rnacentral:rRNA from 1 species